GUCAAGUUUGGUUGGAGAAAGAAUUGUUAGAAGAAAGAAGGCUAACAAGUGUAAUCCUCUUCCUGAUUCAAUGUCCACGAUCGGAAAUGAUGCAACUUCAAUGUGCUGUCUAAUGCUCAAUACCCUCAUUUAACUUUUCUGCUGCUUGCAAUCGAAUUAUCGCAUUGGCUAUAAUGUUAUCACCAUGAUUGUUAGAUGUUAACUUAGUGAAGGUUUUCAAUGGAUUGAACAUGGCUUCCUCCUUCUCAGUAUUAGCUGUACGCCCAGAGAUCAAUCGUAAUUGAGUACAGGAAUGACGCAUUAAGGAGUGGUAGUAAACACCGAAGAAUUUCCGUGAUGUCAAUGACUUCAAGCUACCCUUUAUAUAGAUUUUAGUCAGCAUUGAGUGAAUAUGUGUUGCAUUAAUCAAUCUCAAUAUGACUGGAGUGCUUCGUUCUUUAUCAGGAAGGUAUAAAAUUUCCUGUAUUUCAC